UACAGAGGGGGCAAGCGUUGUUCGGAAUUACUGGGCGUAAAGGGCGCGUAGGCGGCCUGUUAAGUCGAACGUGAAAUCCCCAGGCUCAACCUGGGAACUGCGUCCGAUACUGGCAGGCUUGAAUCCGGGAGAGGGAUGCGGAAUUCCAGGUGUAGCGGUGAAAUGCGUAGAUAUCUGGAGGAACACCGGUGGCGAAGGCGGCAUCCUGGACCGGUAUUGACGCUGAGGUGCGAAAGCGUGGGGAGCAACAGG
rnacentral:rRNA from 1 species